GUCUACGGUCAUGCUACCCUGAACAAGCCCGAUCCCAUCUGAUCUUGAAAGCUAAGCAAGGCUGGGCCUGGGUAGUACUUGGAUGGUAGACCACCUAGGAAGACUAGGUACUGUAGGUG
rnacentral:rRNA from 1 species